AGACAUGCAAGUCGAGCGAACUGAUUAGAAGCUUGCUUCUAUGACGUUAGCGGCGGACGGGUGAGUAACACGUGGGCAACCUGCCUGUAAGACUGGGAUAACUUCGGGAAACCGAAGCUAAUACCGGAUAGGAUCUUCUCCUUCAUGGGAGAUGAUUGAAAGAUGGUUUCGGCUAUCACUUACAGAUGGGCCCGCGGUGCAUUAGCUAGUUGGUGAGGUAACGGCUCACCAAGGCCACGAUGCAUAGCCGACCUGAGAGGGUGAUCGGCCACACUGGGACUGAGACACGGCCCAGACUCCUACGGGAGGCAGCAGUAGGGAAUCUUCCGCAAUGGACGAAAGUCUGACGGAGCAACGCCGCGUGAGUGAUGAAGGCUUUCGGGUCGUAAAACUCUGUUGUUAGGGAAGAACAAGUACAAGAGUAACUGCUUGUACCUUGACGGUACCUAACCAGAAAGCCACGGCUAACUACGUGCCAGCAGCCGCGGUAAUACGUAGGUGGCAAGCGUUAUCCGGAAUUAUUGGGCGUAAAGCGCGCGCAGGCGGUUUCUUAAGUCUGAUGUGAAAGCCCACGGCUCAACCGUGGAGGGUCAUUGGAAACUGGGGAACUUGAGUGCAGAAGAGAAAAGCGGAAUUCCACGUGUAGCGGUGAAAUGCGUAGAGAUGGG
rnacentral:rRNA from 1 species